CAGUCGAGGGGCAGCAUGGUCUUAGCUUGCUAAGACUGAUGGCGACCGGCGCACGGGUGAGUAACACGUAUCCAACCUGCCGUCUACUCUUGGACAGCCUUCUGAAAGGAAGAUUAAUACAAGAUGGCAUCAUGAGUCCGCAUGUUCACAUGAUUAAAGGUAUUCCGGUAGACGAUGGGGAUGCGUUCCAUUAGAUAGUAGGCGGGGUAACGGCCCACCUAGUCUUCGAUGGAUAGGGGUUCUGAGAGGAAGGUCCCCCACAUUGGAACUGAGACACGGUCCAAACUCCUACGGGAGGCAGCAGUGAGGAAUAUUGGUCAAUGGGCGAGAGCCUGAACCAGCCAAGUAGCGUGAAGGAUGACUGCCCUAUGGGUUGUAAACUUCUUUUAUAAAGGAAUAAAGUCGGGUAUGCAUACCCGUUUGCAUGUACUUUAUGAAUAAGGAUCGGCUAACUCCGUGCCAGCAGCCGCGGUAAUACGGAGGAUCCGAGCGUUAUCCGGAUUUAUUGGGUUUAAAGGGAGCGUAGAUGGAUGUUUAAGUCAGUUGUGAAAGUUUGCGGCUCAACCGUAAAAUUGCAGUUGAUACUGGAUAUCUUGAGUGCAGUUGAGGCAGGCGGAAUUCGUGGUGUAGCGGUGAAAUGCUUAGAUAUCACGAAGAACUCCGAUUGCGAAGGCAGCCUGCUAAGCUGCAACUGACAUUGAGGCUCGAAAGUGUGGGUAUCAAACAGG
rnacentral:rRNA from 1 species